CUCUUCCUUUUAAUAGUAACGUAAAGAAACAAGAUGGCGGCGUUCCGUCUCACUAGAAGCGACGAGGCUGUGUCAGUCUAGCGUGUACAGUCCACGACCAGCAGGAGGAAAUACUCUGAGCUACGUAACUCGCCACACGAUCCUCCAAACAACCCUGCACACCAACAAGCCGGAAAACUUCACCCAGGCGCGUAUCAUGAGUGCACGAAGAUGAGCAAGUGCCCGGUACAUUAGACCCUGAACAACAGGUGGUCAUAAAGACCUUGAGGGUUAUGGGCAGAUAACUGCACCCAUUCGUACAGCCGACACCAAAUAAGCAAAACUCCCUGGCUCAUCCUCCGAAGACACCAAAGGUGAAACUGUGCCAAGAGGCGUGGACACGCCUACCGCACCAACAAAGGCCAUUGGACAAUGGCCUACACCGACCAAUAAGAAGAAGGGACAUCACUACUACGCUAGGGAUAUACGCUAAAUGUUAGAGCUCAGGCGGGGCCUUUUGGUGAACCUGUGAGACAGUGAACUACUUAAUUGUGGUCUGUGGAACAGUGAAGCCGAUCGGCCCUCAUGAGUAGAGUUUUAUGUUUUGCUGCACUUUUGAUUUUAAUAAAUUACUUGAUGUUAUAACCCAAAA